rnacentral:rRNA from 1 species
UACGUAGGGACCGAGCGUUGUCCGGAAUUACUGGGCGUAAAGAGCUCGUAGGUGGUUUGUCGCGUUGUUCGUGAAAACCUGAGGCUUAACCUUGGGCGUGCGGGCGAUACGGGCAGACUGGAGUACUGCAGGGGAGACUGGAAUUCCUGGUGUAGCGGUGGAAUGCGCAGAUAUCAGGAGGAACACCGGUGGCGAAGGCGGGUCUCUGGGCAGUAACUGACGCUGAGGAGCGAAAGCGUGGGGAGCGAACAGG